rnacentral:rRNA from 1 species
ACUCCUACGGGAGGCAGCAGUGAGGAAUAUUGGGCAAUGCCCGCAAGGGUGACCCAGCAACGCCGCGUGGAGGAUGAAGGUUCUCUGAGUCGUAAACUCCUGUCGGCCGGGACGAAUGGACGGGGUGCUAAUCAGCCCCGUCUUGACUGUACCGGCAAAGGAAGCCCCGGCUAACUCCGUGCCAGCAGCCGCGGUAAUA